AGGCAAAUCUCAAAAAUAACGUCCCAGUUCGGACUGUAGUCUGCAACCCGACUACACGAAGCUGGAAUCGCUAGUAAUCGCGAAUCAGCAUGUCGCGGUGAAUACGUUCCCGGGUCUUGUACACACCGCCCGUCACACCAUGGGAGUCGAUAACGCCCGAAGUCGGUGACCCAACCGCAAGGAGGGAGCCGCCGAAGGCGGGAUUGGUAACUGGGGUGAAGUCGUAACAAGGUAAC
rnacentral:rRNA from 1 species